rnacentral:rRNA from 1 species
UUAAGCGACUAAGCGUACACGGUGGAUGCCCUGGCAGUCAGAGGCGAUGAAGGACGUGCUAAUCUGCGAUAAGCGUCGGUAAGGUGAUAUGAACCGUUAUAACCGGCGAUUUCCGAAUGGGGAAACCCAGUGUGUUUCGACACACUAUCAUUAACUGAAUCCAUAGGUUAAUGAGGCGAACCGGGGGAACUGAAACAUCUAAGUACCCCGAGGAAAAGAAAUCAACCGAGAUUCCCCCAGUAGCGGCGAGCGAACGGGGAGGAGCCCAGAGCCUGAAUCAGUGUGUGUGUUAGUGGAAGCGUCUGGAAAGGCGCGCGAUACAGGGUGACAGCCCCGUACACAAAAAUGCACAUGCUGUGAGCUCGAUGAGUAGGGCGGGACACGUGGUAUCCUGUCUGAAUAUGGGGGGACCAUCCUCCAAGGCUAAAUACUCCUGACUGACCGAUAGUGAACCAGUACCGUGAGGGAAAGGCGAAAAGAACCCCGGCGAGGGGAGUGAAAAAGAACCUGAAACCGUGUACGUACAAGCAGUGGGAGCACGCUUAGGCGUGUGACUGCGUACCUUUUGUAUAAUGGGUCAGCGACUUAUAUUCUGUAGCAAGGUUAACCGAAUAGGGGAGCCGAAGGGAAACCGAGUCUUAACUGGGCGUUAAGUUGCAGGGUAUAGACCCGAAACCCGGUGAUCUAGCCAUGGGCAGGUUGAAGGUUGGGUAACACUAACUGGAGGACCGAACCGACUAAUGUUGAAAAAUUAGCGGAUGACUUGUGGCUGGGGGUGAAAGGCCAAUCAAACCGGGAGAUAGCUGGUUCUCCCCGAAAGCUAUUUAGGUAGCGCCUCGUGAAUUCAUCUCCGGGGGUAGAGCACUGUUUCGGCAAGGGGGUCAUCCCGACUUACCAACCCGAUGCAAACUGCGAAUACCGGAGAAUGUUAUCACGGGAGACACACGGCGGGUGCUAACGUCCGUCGUGAAGAGGGAAACAACCCAGACCGCCAGCUAAGGUCCCAAAGUCAUGGUUAAGUGGGAAACGAUGUGGGAAGGCCCAGACAGCCAGGAUGUUGGCUUAGAAGCAGCCAUCAUUUAAAGAAAGCGUAAUAGCUCACUGGUCGAGUCGGCCUGCGCGGAAGAUGUAACGGGGCUAAACCAUGCACCGAAGCUGCGGCAGCGACGCUGAUGCGUUGUUGGGUAGGGGAGCGUUCUGUAAGCCUGUGAAGGUGUGCUGUGAGGCAUGCUGGAGGUAUCAGAAGUGCGAAUGCUGACAUAAGUAACGAUAAAGCGGGUGAAAAGCCCGCUCGCCGGAAGACCAAGGGUUCCUGUCCAACGUUAAUCGGGGCAGGGUGAGUCGACCCCUAAGGCGAGGCCGAAAGGCGUAGUCGAUGGGAAACAGGUUAAUAUUCCUGUACUUGGUGUUACUGCGAAGGGGGGACGGAGAAGGCUAUGUUGGCCGGGCGACGGUUGUCCCGGUUUAAGCGUGUAGGCUGGUUUUCCAGGCAAAUCCGGAAAACUAAGGCUGAGGCGUGAUGACGAGGCACUACGGUGCUGAAGCAACAAAUGCCCUGCUUCCAGGAAAAGCCUCUAAGCAUCAGGUAACAUCAAAUCGUACCCCAAACCGACACAGGUGGUCAGGUAGAGAAUACCAAGGCGCUUGAGAGAACUCGGGUGAAGGAACUAGGCAAAAUGGUGCCGUAACUUCGGGAGAAGGCACGCUGAUAUGUAGGUGAAGUCCCUCGCGGAUGGAGCUGAAAUCAGUCGAAGAUACCAGCUGGCUGCAACUGUUUAUUAAAAACACAGCACUGUGCAAACACGAAAGUGGACGUAUACGGUGUGACGCCUGCCCGGUGCCGGAAGGUUAAUUGAUGGGGUCAGCGCAAGCGAAGCUCUUGAUCGAAGCCCCGGUAAACGGCGGCCGUAACUAUAACGGUCCUAAGGUAGCGAAAUUCCUUGUCGGGUAAGUUCCGACCUGCACGAAUGGCGUAAUGAUGGCCAGGCUGUCUCCACCCGAGACUCAGUGAAAUUGAACUCGCUGUGAAGAUGCAGUGUACCCGCGGCAAGACGGAAAGACCCCGUGAACCUUUACUAUAGCUUGACACUGAACAUUGAGCCUUGAUGUGUAGGAUAGGUGGGAGGCUUGGAAGUGUGGACGCCAGUCUGCAUGGAGCCGACCUUGAAAUACCACCCUUUAAUGUUUGAUGUUCUAACGUUGACCCGUAAUCCGGGUUGCGGACAGUGUCUGGUGGGUAGUUUGACUGGGGCGGUCUCCUCCUAAAGAGUAACGGAGGAGCACGAAGGUUGGCUAAUCCUGGUCGGACAUCAGGAGGUUAGUGCAAUGGCAUAAGCCAGCUUGACUGCGAGCGUGACGGCGCGAGCAGGUGCGAAAGCAGGUCAUAGUGAUCCGGUGGUUCUGAAUGGAAGGGCCAUCGCUCAACGGAUAAAAGGUACUCCGGGGAUAACAGGCUGAUACCGCCCAAGAGUUCAUAUCGACGGCGGUGUUUGGCACCUCGAUGUCGGCUCAUCACAUCCUGGGGCUGAAGUAGGUCCCAAGGGUAUGGCUGUUCGCCAUUUAAAGUGGUACGCGAGCUGGGUUUAGAACGUCGUGAGACAGUUCGGUCCCUAUCUGCCGUGGGCGCUGGAGAACUGAGGGGGGCUGCUCCUAGUACGAGAGGACCGGAGUGGACGCAUCACUGGUGUUCGGGUUGUCAUGCCAAUGGCACUGCCCGGUAGCUAAAUGCGGAAGAGAUAAGUGCUGAAAGCAUCUAAGCACGAAACUUGCCCCGAGAUGAGUUCUCCCUGACCCUUUAAGGGUCCUGAAGGAACGUUGAAGACGACGACGUUGAUAGGCCGGGUGUGUAAGCGCAGCGAUGCGUUGAGCUAACCGGUACUAAUGAACCGUGAGGCUUAACCUU